ensembl:lncRNA
GAGGGUGCCCAGGGCAGUUUCCUUCCUCCUGCCUGAUAGCCACUGUCAUUACUGAACUCUCGGUCCUCCGGAGACGGGGAGCUGAAAGAUCCAUUGGGCAUCCCCAGUGGGGACUGCAAAGGCCAGAGAAUACAAAAUACAAACGGCCAUGGAGACCCUUCUCUCCCAUCUCGGCUUACGGAGGACGCUGCACACAUUGUCACCUCCUUGCACCUCUUCUGCACCUGGGCGUCAGUGGGCGUGACUGGCUGCUGUGAAGUCAGCUGCCGGACCUCACCACCCCCUUCUUUCUCCUUUUUUGGAGGAGGGACAGCGUGGGCAGUGUGCUUCCAGGCGGGGGAACGGGGGAGCCCCUUGUGGCUGGCGCUGGGGCAGGGGAAUUCUGGGCAGGACUGGAGGCUGGCCUUUCUGGAACCCCCUCCAUCAG